AGCAACUUCCAGUCCUGCAAGCUUCAUUCCUGGAUGGUAGAAAGCAGUCUUCAGCCUGAGACCCAUCCCUAGGACAUAAUUGGAAGAACUGGUUAUUUUACUGAAGCUUUGACUGGAAUGUUAUGGUUUCCUUUAUGGAAUCAAACUUGACUUAUGGAUCAGAUAAAAGCCCCUUGGGAAAACUGGCCUCAUACCUUGUCUACACAAUCCCUGUACAGGGUUCCUGAUCUAUGACUCUAUGGCACAAAGAGGCACUACAGAAAAUCCCAGAAUUUAUUCUGACUGAAGCAAUAUGCAACUGGCAAAACUGGCAGCUGAAAGGAUCCUGAAUCAGAAGGAUUUUAAAUGCCGUUUUGGCACAGGAUGUCAGAGCACAAGCAUGGUGAAGAGGAAUCUGUGUCAGCAAGAAGGUGGAAGAGAUAUGACAUUGGUCAAACAGAGAAUUGAUAAAAUAAGAAAACAAGUUGAAAAAAUAAAACCAGGUGCCAAAUUUCUCAAAGCCAGAGAAUGGAUUAAAAAUAUCGAAUGGAAAUAAACAAGUAUGAAGCCUGA